GUAAAAACAGAGUGAAAAUAGGUUGCAUCUCACCCUCUCUCUGGGAAAACUGUCCUAUGCCUACUCCACCUUAAAAGCGAAACGUGCACUUUUUGUGUGCAGAGACAGCACGAAGUGGGCCCCCUGCUCUUUUCAGGGAGGGAAUGUAAGCAGAUCUCUGAAGAAACCACUUGGCUCAGCAAUUUUAGGGCUUGUUGUAAUUGGCCUGGCCUAAAAGAAUUCAGCAAGCUGUACCUGUGCCAAGGAAAAUGCAAACGCUUCCCUGAAACAGAGGCGUUUAGAAUGGAGGAGAGGAGCUGGGCUCAUCUGCGAGCUUGAGUGGAACAGCAGUGGGGACAGGAGAGCUGCGACAUUGGAGAAGUUCCAAAGAGGCUGUUUCCUUGCUUAGCCACGGGUGGAAGUCACAUCCACUGAACUGUCACCUGGCAGGCAUUAUAAAUUAAGGAGGAAUAGUAACAAAGAGCUUGAAGACAUGCACAGCUCACAGGCCCCGGGUGGAGGCUGGCGACAUCAGACAGACAGAACCAAGACAUCUGAGGGGCAACCAGGAGGUGCGUGUGGCUGCAGAGCACACAGACUUGUCUUUGGACAAAAUUGAGAAGAACUCAUAAACUUGGCUUCCUCGCUUCUGCUCCUCAGACGCGCGUGGAUGAUUUGAAGAUAUUAGCCUAACAAGAUGGAAGCAGGUUUAAAAUUUUACAUAAGAAGUUACCUUUUUCAGUUGUGUUGAUGUUCCUUUCAGCUGGUCCUAUAGUACCCCUCCUCAGGAAUGUCUCCCCAGUGCAAGGACAAAGACUGAAGAGACUGCUAUAUUGAUGGACUCUCAAGCCAACUAUGAAGUUGAAACAAAGAAAGUGAUCACCUGAAGACACCUCCUCUGCUAAGAAACACCCCCAAAUUGUGCAGCUUCUGCCACUAGAACUCUCAGAACAAGAGACAAUCUUUUCAAGAAACAGAAAAACUCAAUAAUGACAUCUAGAUUUUCAUGAGCCAAGAACUUUCCCUUCCUCAUGUGUAUUCCUCUGUUUGUACUUAAAUUCAUGUGACAUUCAUUUUUUUCCUAGUAUGGAUAUGCUUAUUAAUGCACUUGUUUCAAAAUCCCAAAUUGCACAAAUGUGUUAAUAUUUUAAGAAACAAAAUGAAUCCUACAAGGAGAAUGAUUUUUAGCCACACAUAGGGUUGGAUCUUGAGAGUGACCUACAGAAUAAAAGUACUUUUAAAAUAAAGUAGUCAGAGGCUAUUCAAAGGGUAAAAUAAUCAUAGUACCACAUUGGUCCACUUGACACUAACCAAUCGAUCAUUUUUUUUUAAUCAAGAAAGCUAGAUUCUAUCAGAUAAAAUCACUGCUUCUAAAGAGUUUAAAUCUAGUUAGAAAAAGUUAUAGAAAUGUUUGCAAAGAUAAGUAACAGAUAGAGUCAGUAGAGGAUAAGAUCAAAAACAAAACCAAGCAAAAGAUGAGUUCAGGGGAGUUUGCCAUCAAGUUGGCAAAACUGACUUACUUAGGGAAGAAAGUUAUAAAACAGGAAAAUAUGAGAUGAACCUUGAGUGAUGUGGAAGAUUUAGAUAAAUGGAAAGGAAGGAGAAAAUGGAGUUCUUUAGGUGGUUGUAAUUGGAGGAGGAAAUGAAUACACACAUCUUGUUGACUUAAACCCAGACAUUCAGCAGCUCUCUAUACAUAUCUGGAAAAGACUGCACAGUCACCUCCUGUCUCUCACCCCAGGUAUUACUUAGAAUUAUUAUCAUAUUUCCCUUCCUUUAAAGUAAGUAAGGGUGAUUGGUGACAAUAUGGAGAACUAUGAUUUUUCCAUUAACCUAAUAAUAAUUGGUAUUUAUUGAGUUCUGUUAAGCAUUUUACAUAUUAACUCACUUAAGCCUUUCAACAGCCUUGCAAAAUAGGUAUUAUUAUCCCCAUUUUACAGGCAAGAAAACUGAGGUUUAAGUAACUUGCCGAAGUGCCAUAUACAGGGCUCACAUUCAGUAUUGCAGUUGCAAAGCUCAUGAUCUAUAGUGCCAAGUUGCAAUAUUGUAGUCAAUGUCACAAUUAUUACCCCUUUUUAUAUUCCUUGAUAUUUUUCCAUGGCAAACAAUUAGCUAUUUCAUUUAAUAAUCACCUAAAACUUUUCAGUCUUCUGAUUAAAAUUACGCUGGAGUGAUAGAAUGUAUUUUCAUGAUAGAAAUUGGGAAAAAAAAUGGGGAAUGAAGUUUAUCAGCAUUUCAGACUUGUUUUUUUUUUUUUUUUUUGCAAGACUUUGAUGAGAUUGUUCACUUUUGUCUAUGUAAAAUCCCAAAUCCUUGAGAAUAAAAAAGGGGGAGGUUUAAGUCACUUGUUGCAAUGCCCUUUUUAAUAGAGGCAAUAAAUCUAAAGGCCAUAAAUUUAGAGUGACUUACAGAAGAUCGAACUUUGGAGUGUGGCAGAGUAAGGGAUGGAAACCGGGCCCUCCAGUUCACUAUCAGUAGCUUUUGCACUGGUCUGCCCUUCCUAAAUUAAGUAUGCACUUCAAUUUGAUGAGUGGAAACAGUCUAUCUGGGCAGUAACCAGGGAGCUUUGUGCCUAGUAGAUUGCUUCUGUUCUGCACUUCUUUGGUUUCCCACCUCAAUGUAAAAAAUAGCUAGCAAUGAAGUCCAGAAGUUGUCAAUGGUUCAUCCCCAGAAGAAUGCAUAAUGUCCAAAGUUGUAUGUGUAUGAUGUCUUCAAUGGUAUUAAGUUAUUUCAAAUUCUUAGUUCACCUACAUAAAUCAUUUCUAACAAGCAUCUUCUUAACCAACUUUAUGCACAGUGUAUGUUUGUAAGUGCUUCUGCACGAAUGUUUAUACAUGACUGUUUCCAUAGUACUUAUGUUUUUAAAAAUAUUCAGUCAUUUCCUACUAUAAUCCUCAUGUAUCCAUGUAACUGACUCAAAAAUACUUCAGCCACAGAAAGCUAAAACUGAGCAAAUCUCAUUCUUCUUUUCCAUCCCCUUUGCAUGUGGCUGGCAUUUAGUAAUGAUUAAUAAUAUGGCCAGCUGAAUAACAGAGGUUUGAGACACAAUUCUUUCUCAAAGGAGUCAGCUAAGCUGGGUCUACUUAUGGACAAACAUCUAAAUGUGUGGAAGUAUCUGAUAUUUGACAAUGGUAAAUUUCCACUUAGCUAGCUAGCAUUGUCAGACUUCAAUCUCCUCAUGGCUCUGGCCGUCCUGUUUUAAGCAUGAUAAUUGUUGGCCACAUCUCACAUAGUUCUCAUUGAGUGAGUUCAUAAAUAAACAGGGUUUUUUUUUUUUUUUAAAGAGCAGCCAAGCACAAAGUGUGACUUUGUUGACAUUUUAUGUGACUUUGUCAUAUGUUCCUAACCCCCAAUAAAAGCAAUGUUGCAUCAACUGUGAA
rnacentral:lncRNA from 1 species